rnacentral:lncRNA from 1 species
AAAAAAAAAAAAUAAAUAAAUAAAUCAAAAUUUGAAGCAAAGAAAUAUAAUUUUAUAAUAAUUAAUCGCAAAUCGAUCGCCAAAAAAAAUGUAAACUGAUCAGAAUCUUUACUAACGUAAAUAGUAUGCAAACUAGUAAAAUGAGUUAAUUCUUAACUAACUAGUCUGUAAAGUUGCACAAUAUACGAGUGCUGUAUAUACAGUAUAUAUUGUCAUUAUUCUCAGUCACUAGAUGAAACUGCCUUAAGCGCUCCUCUGCAACCGAUUCACCACCCCUAUACCUAGUAAUCGACUGGUCUCGGUGAUUUCCCGUUCUAUUUUGAGAUCACUUUUCUCUGGCUUCACCACCCGAAUGCUUGGCUGGAUAUCAAUGUUGCCAGCUGGCGAAGUGUGUGUGUGUGAGUAUUGGCCAACCGACAAACUCUGGCUGUUGAUGACCUUCAGGAAUUACCGUCCUCGUGUCCUCGACUUAGCUCAACCCUACCUCCCCAUUUGACUGGCUGAUAAUGGUAGGUUCCAAACUUGCCUGUCAUGUCUGCGGCCGCAGUCUCUCACAAGUAAUCUGGGGCUAGUUCAUUGACUCGACGGAUGACUGGAUAGAUGUAGGGUUGCUUGCAGCAGGGUGUGUUUUUCGCACCUGUAGAGUUUACUUGUCGUACUCGAAUUUAUCCGAUGUCUUUAAACAGUUAAAGAUACACUUAGUGCUUCGGAAUCGACUGCUGCAUCGUUCCCCGUAAAGCAUAUGAAUGAUUCUCCGCACCGAAGCUAUGUUGCCAUUGUUCCAACAUGGUUGCCGUCAAUGAUACUUCGGGCAAAACCUGGAUUACUCCGUCGAUCAUUUUUAAGGAAGUAGUGGUGUUGUGUGUAUCGUCAUUGAUAUGUUGGUAACAUCUUCCUGUGGUUUUUCUUCCUGCCGUUAUACGUGGUGUGUUUUCGGAUUUAGGAAAUACUUAAUUUCUACAUCUGCAUUAUUUAAAUGUGAAAAUGUUGUCUCGGAUAUGUGUUUGCCGACGUAGACUGUUUUGUUGUUCUAUCUGAAACAUAUUCCAAGAUGGUGGAAUAUGUUGACUUCUCAUGUUUAUAAAUUAGAUGUGAAUUCAUAUUAAGUGUUGAAAUCUUUCGCCUAUCUUGUAAUCUAGGCCCCAUACAUGUACAAUAACGGCCAUCUUGUCUGAAAUGAGUAACGUGAAAACGCUGUCUGUGGGACAUCUAAAUAGUCCGACUUACGUCGUUGUAGAACGGCCUUCACAUGAAGGAAAUACUCCAUAUAAAAGGCAUACAGGCUCACUUAGUCCACCAUUAGCUGGUACACGUGGCUAUCCAUAUCCUCAGGAUCCAACUCGAAGUGCUUAUCCUCACACAACAACCAUCCAUAUACCUGUUUAUGGUGCUCAUACACAAAUAUUUAGUGAUAGUCACUAUCCAGUAAGUUUUAUUUAUUUCAUUAUUUAUAUUUGAAUAAACCUAUCUGAUACUUUAGAAAUCAAUAAAUUAAUCUGAAAAGUAUAGUGGAACCUCGAUAACUCGAAUCGUC